UACGUAGGUGACCAGCGUUGUCCGGAUUUACUGGGCGUAAAGAGCGCGCAGGCGGUCGUUCAAGUCGAGUGUGAAAGCCCCCGGCUCAACUGGGGAGGGUCAUUCGAUACUGAUCGACUCGAAGGCAGGAGAGGGAAGCGGAAUUCCCGGUGUAGUGGUGAAAUGCGUAGAUAUCGGGAGGAACACCAGUGGCGAAGGCGGCUUCCUGGCCUGUUCUUGACGCUGAGCGCAAAGCUAGGGGGAGCAAACGGG
rnacentral:rRNA from 1 species